UACGGAGGGGGCGAGCGUUGUUCGGAAUUACUGGGCGUAAAGGGCGCGUAGGCGGCCUGCUAAGUCGAACGUGAAAUCCCUGGGCUCAACCCAGGAACUGCGUCCGAUACUGGUUGGCUUGAAUCCGGGAGAGGGACGUGGAAUUCCAGGUGUAGCGGUGAAAUGCGCAGAUAUCGGGAGGAACACCAAUGGCGAAGGCAGCUCGCUGGGACGGUACUGACGCUGAGACG
rnacentral:rRNA from 1 species